CUCUGGACAGCCUAGUCCGGUGGUCGGCAACCCUGCACAUAGCAGGGGGAUUGAAACUAGAUGAUCUUUGAGGUCCUUUUCAUCCCAGGCCAUUCUACGAUUCUGUGAUUAUGUGACAUGAGGGAAGAUGUACAGUUUUAAUUUCUCAGACUGAGCUGAUCAAAGGUUCUCGUCCUUAAGGGCAUGAGUUGGGGCAUUAUUGCAUUCUAUUCUGCCCUCUAGAAAUCCAGCUUUUUACCUUCUUCAGAAUGGCUUCUUCCCAUUAAAGAAUGGCUGGCACAAGUAAACCUGAACAGGCUAAAAUCAAGUUGUCUUUUCCUCCUUAAAUCUUCCACUUUGUUCAGUCCUUCCUUUCUUGGCUCAGUGUCCUUUUUUGAUGAAUGCUGAGCUUCAGCCAAAUUUAGGGUGUUGAGGCACAGUCAGCAGCGAAUUAAGCUGCAGAGGCUGAAACAGCUGUCAACCAUGAGCCGUGUCUUCUUCCUACUCUGUCUUCCCCCAGUCUUACAAAGGAAGCCAGCCCUGUGUCAGAGAAUCUGAACAGAUGAUAAAUCAACUGGUGAACAGCUGCAGCUUCUAGUCAGGCAUGUUCAUACACAAGAAAACCCUCUUCUAGCUGCCUACAUUAAAUAGCUGGUGGCAAAUGGAGAAAGCGUGGGAGGCAGUUCACAAGCAGUUCAAUUACACUUGCAAUCAGGGUGGCAACUUGAGGGAGAGAGGUUGCAUGAACAGACAGGUUUGAUUCUUGCCUCACCACUGGUGUUUAAUGCUGGUGCAUGGAGAAUCUGUGACCAGAGAUCACCUAGGAAUUUACCAACGAUUGUCUCCAUACACACAGUCAGUGGAGCAGACGUGUCUUUGGGAUCCUGAAGGCUGCAGCUGAACAAAAUGAACCACAACAUCCCAAGGCGUCCUUGUGAUGGCAGUGCCUGUAUUCUGUCUGUGGGUAUCAUCAGUGAGCAUCAUAGUUACCUGCAAUGGCAUUCUCUCCUCCGCAGCCAUAUGAACUGAAUUAAGGAGUCUGUUCAUAGUAUCAGUGUCCAAUCUCAGAAAGCAUCAACUCUACAAUAAAUCUGUGACUGAAUUGGACUGAUGAGUACUGUAUGGACAGGUAGUCAUUUACUGUAACAAGAGCAGAAAAACCAUGAGGUAGGAGGAAUAAUAUGUCAGCUGAGGAUUUCUGGUUGCCUGUGUUGGUGGUGCUUAGCCUCAGCAAAGGAAGAGUUCCUGUCACUCCAUACAGGUCAUGGGCCUGAGCAAAGAGAGUGUGCCAUUCCUGCUGCUGUGUGCCGCAGUGAAGCACCUGUAAAUUCAUAAAGAGGCAGCUUGUUUUUUUUUCCAUACUUCUAGAACACCAUAGGUUCAAAGCAUCCAGAAGGUUGUAAGCAGCCCCAGAUUCCUGCUGUGAGGCCAUGGGAAGGCUUCAGAGGCCAGUGAUGAGCUCUGAUAAUGACUGUUGUUCUUCCCUGAGUGAAAGUUCCAGCUGCCCUGCAGCCUUAAACCUGCCUUUGGACAGUCUGGCCUCCAGUACAACUCUUAAGUAGAAGCUGCUUAUUUGUUUUUCAUAGUUGCUGCCAAUAGGAUACUCUUUUCUUGCAGAAAAUGGCCUGAUGUUGACUGAAGCCAUAGAGCAUGUAGAUUGAACACUCAUUCUGCUUUCAGAAAGAAAAUGUGCUCAGCAUUAUUUUUCUUUUGGUGGAGUGGCAAGGUACAUGGAGAUCCUUCUCAGGUCUGGAAGCAGCAGGUUCAUCUGAAGACAAGACAGGUGUGCUUGGGCUGGCUUGGAACCUGGAGAGGCAGGCUCUCUUCAUCACUGGGCUGUAACUGUUUCCUCAUUUAGAGUUGACUGGUGAUACCUAGGAAGUGGAUCCCAGAUGAGUUCUCCUAAGGUUGUG
ensembl:lncRNA